AUGGCUGCGGAGCUGGGCGAGAUUGAGGAGCUCGUCGAGGAGAUCCUCAUCCGCCUCCCUAAGGACGAGCCUGGUAAUCUCCUCCGCUCCUCCCUCGCCUGCAAGCCAUGGCACGACCUCGCCAGUCAUGCCUUCUGUCGCCACCACGGCGACUUCCACCGAACACCUCCCAUGCUUGGCUUCCUCCGCGACUGGCCGGAACUCAGCAUCGAGUUCUUCCCCACCACGGAUUUCCUGGCGCGCGGUCCCGACCCCCAGCACCAAUAUGCCGUGGAAGAUUGUCGCCACGGCCGCAUCCUCCUUCGGUACUUCGAUGAGGAUAUGCCAUUGCUGGUCGUCAGGGACCCCAUGACGGGCAGCGAAAUAGUGCUUGGCACCCUUAAAAUGUCAGAGAAGCAAGGUCGUUUGCCUCGAUGA
rnacentral:rRNA from 1 species